CCCUUAGAUGUUCUGGGCUGCACGCGCGCUACACUGAUGCGCUCAACGAGUUUUAACCUUGCCUGGAAAGGUUGGGUAAUCUUUUUAAAACGCAUCGUGAUGGGGAUAGAUUAUUGCAAUUAUUAAUCUUCAACGAGGAAUUCCUAGUAAGCGCGAGUCAUCAGCUCGUGCUGAUUACGUCCCUGCCCUUUGUACACACCGCCCGUCGCUCCUACCGAUUGAGUGGUCCGGUGAGGCUUUGGGAUCUGAGCGGAAAGAACGUUUCGCUGUUUCUGCUCGGAAAACUCAGUCGAACCUUAUCAUUUAGAGGAAGGAGAAGUCGUAACA
rnacentral:rRNA from 1 species